ensembl:lncRNA
CUAUGGGCUGAGCGCUAGGCUAGCCACAAGGGAAAUAAUACAGAAAACAGACAUCGUUCUUGCCCUCAUUCUAGAUAUAAAAACAGAGAUUAGUCAAAUCACCCCAUAAAUACACUAAAAUGUCAACUAUGCUACAAAAAAUGUGAAAAAGGACCUAGGUUAUUCUGGGAUGGGGUAGUUGAGGCCAUGUGAGGGAAGGCUGUCCUGAGGAAGUGGCUUCUGAACUUCAGGAAAUGCAGGAGGUAAGAGGUGAAGAGAGGGAGCAAAGGCAGAGAGAAGAGUAUUUGUAAAGACUCUGAGGCAAGAAAGAGCACAGUACUUGAAGAACCCGACGAAGGCCAGGAUUGCUGCCAAGAAGGGGCCUGAGGAGAUGGAGUGGAUUUGUUAGAGAGGGAGGGGUACAAACAUGCAGGAUCUUGUGGGGCAUGCUGAGAAUGGGAGUCUUUGUAAUCAGAGCAAAAUUGGAGGCCAUUGGUGAGGUUUAGAUUACAGUGGAACAAUAUGAUCCCAUUUAUGUCUUGUGGAGAUCACUGGCUGUGCUUUGAGACUUAAGGGGUGUGGAUCAAGAGUCGAGUCAAGGAGACUAGUUGGAUGACUAUCGCCAGAAAGUAGGCAAAAAGUGGCCUUUGUUUGGACCAGGGUGGAAGUUAGGGUUAAGAGAAGUAGAUAGAUUCAAGAGAAAGUGAAACCAAGAGGUCUUGAUGAUGGGUUGUACAAAGGGUGAAGGAGAGAAUUUGUCCAACAUGGAUAGGUUUCCAGUGAGUGCAACUGAAUAGAUGGGGCUGAGAUUUCCUGAAAGAAAACAUCAGGGCAGAGUGUUUGCUGGAAGACACAUACAAUUUGAGGAUUCUUGGACUUCCUCGUGGAUGACUAAUGACCUGGAAAGGCAACACACUGAUUAUAUCACGAUUUCAUUUUUAGAACACAUACUAUAACUACACAUUGGUUAACAGUAUCAAUGAAAUGUUGCUUACCCAUGAGUCUCAUGUUCUUUAUUUUUCUGUAUACCAUAUUAGUUCUUGACAAAGUAUUUCUCCACUCAUGUCUUUCCGAAAACACAUACCGUGUAUUUUGGAGGCAUGGGGUUCUAUAGGAUCCUUUCUCUGUCUACUCAUGAAGAGGAAGACUGUUGUUGUUUCGCCCAUGAGCCCAUCGCUGUCAGCUUUCUCAGGUGGCGUUUUGGAUGUGUCAACAACAAAAUUGUCUUUUUUCUUCUUGUUCUCCCUGUGAAGGCUUAGCUGUUAAUCUUCCUUUGUGUUUCAUAUUUCAUUUCUGUUUUUAAAAGGAUGCCCUGUUAUUGUUCUUCUCUUGGCUGGAUCUGUAUUUACAGGGACCUUUCUUCUUUACUUUCUUUCAGCCUUCAGCAGAAUGAUUUUGGUAACUUGGGACUCCCUUGGGGAAUACAGCCAUUACACUUUCCGUCCUGCUGUGUGGCAACACUGCUUCUGAUGUUUUCACAGGCCCUGGAUAUGGUAGUGCUGGGGGUUUUGUCUUCCCAACUUUUUAAACAUAACACGGAUGCUAUUUCUGGUAUCCAUAGAGGGAGCAGUGGGUUCAUUGGAAGUAUCUCAGGAGGAGCAUUUUUUCUAUAUAGAAAAGAGAGGAUGAGAGAUUCCUUUAAGUUCCAAAAACUGGCAUAAAAUUGAUUAGUUAAAAAAAAGUGCUAUUUGUUCCUGUAUAAUUUAUCUGACCACAGAACCGCAUUCAGCAAAGGGCACCAUGACCUCUUCGGGGAAAUGGAGCAACCUGAACACCUGAUUCAAAUUUUCUGGCCUGAAGGCAACUCCAGUGAGUGACUUCCAACAGAUCCAUAACAACAGCCUGUUUUGAAAAUGUGUUUGCUCCUAACAGUGCAAGGCCCCUUUUUCAACUAAUGAAUCCUUUCAAUGUUUCUGAACUGGGAGGUAGAUGACUUCUGUCUGUGGUGAUGUAUAGAUCGAAGGACAACAGCAGCUCAUUAAGGGAGAAGUAUCAAGAGAAUGAAGAAUACAACUUUAACAAUGGCGAAAGCGGAGUCUCAAACUGCUGACCUUCAGGUGUAUUUUCUUGGGCACUAUCAUGGCCAUGAGAAUGGCCUCACAUCUCUCAUGGCGGGGGCCGUAAUUGACCUACAGCCCCAGCUGCUUUGUUCUGAAAUCCAUCACUUGUUGGCUCUGAGGUCACACUUCCUAUGACUGAGCAAGGCGGAUCCUGGCAGGAGGUGAGACCGUCCCAGAUAAACAAGUAUGCGUCAAGAAACCCACAGGCCAGUCAAGAUGACUGUCAACAAGAGGGAGACAGGGGUUCAACAUGGAGGGGCUACGGCAAGGGGCUUGCCUGCUGUGGGCUGGGAUAGCCCGAGAGGCUGAGCUGGAUGUGGACAGCAGGGGCGCUUCUCCUGGCUCCACUGAGUACGGGAACCUCAGUGCUCAGAGUGUGUGGAUACCCCUCACUCCCACACUCUGGCCAAGGACGGGACAUUGCUUGUCUUGCUUGAGGGCACGGGCUCCCUGUCUCUGCCCAUCGUUAGUGUGGUGACAUCAGGAUCUGAAGGCAGAUGGAUGGCUUUGAUGACAUUUCAAGGUUCCGGCCAUUUCUAACCUUCCAUGAUGGUUGAGAAAUCAC